rnacentral:rRNA from 1 species
UGGGGAAUCUUGCGCAAUGGGCGAAAGCCUGACGCAGCGACGCCGCGUGCGGGAAGAAGGCCUUCGGGUUGUAAACCGCUUUCAGGAGGGACGAAGCCACUCGGGUUAAUAGCCCAGAGGGUGACGGUACCUCCAGAAGAAGCCCCGGCUAACUACGUGCCAGCAGCCGCGGUAAUACGUAGGGGGCUAGCGUUGUCCGGAUUUAUUGGGCGUAAAGAGCGCGUAGGCGGCCGAGUAAGUCCGACGUGAAAUCUGGAGGCUCAACCUCCAGCGGUCGUUGGAAACUACUCGGCUAGAGUCCGGAAGAGGAGAGUGGAAUUCCUGGUGUAGCGGUGAAAUGCGCAGAUAUCAGGAAGAACACCGAUGGCGAAAGCAGCUCUCUGGGGCGGUACUGACGCUGAGGCGCGAAAGCGUGGGGAGCGAACAGGAUUAGAUACCCUGGUAGUCCACGCCGUAAACGAUGGGUGCGUAGGUGUGGGCGGUGUCGACUCCGCCCGUGCCGAAGCUAACG